rnacentral:rRNA from 1 species
CUGGUUGAUCCUGCCAGUAGUUAUAUGCUUAUCUCAAAGAUUAAGCCAUGCAUGUGUAAGCACAUGCCUUAAAACGGUAAAGCCGCGAAUGGCUCGGUAUAACAGCCACUGUUUAUUAAACUCUAGUUAUCUACUUGGAUAACUGUGGCAAUUCUAGAGCUAAUACAUGCACGCAGGCUCGGACCUUUUGGGAAGAGCGCAUUUAUUAGACCAAAACCAAUCGGGCUUCGGCCUGUGUUUUGGUGACUCUGAAUAACUCAGUCGAUCGCACAGUCUUAGUACUGGCGACGUAUUUUUCAAAUGUCUGCCUUAUCAACUUUCGAUGGUAGGUUAUACGCCUACCAUGGUUAUAACGGGUAACGGAGAAUUAGGGUUCGACUCCGGAGAGGGAGCCUGAGAAAUGGCUACCACAUCCAAGGAAGGCAGCAGGCGCGCAAAUUACCCAAUCCCAGAACGGGGAGGUAGUGACGAAAAAUAACGAGGUAAUCCACUUUGUGGCUUGCCAUCGGAAUGGGCACAAUAUAAAUCUUUUAACGAGGAUCUAUUAGAGGGCAAGUCUGGU